CCUACGGGAGGCAGCAGUGGGGAAUAUUGCACAAUGGGGGAAACCCUGAUGCAGCGACGCCGCGUGAGUGAAGAAGUAUUUCGGUAUGUAAAGCUCUAUCAGCAGGGAAGAUAAUGACGGUACCUGACUAAGAAGCCCCGGCUAACUACGUGCCAGCAGCCGCGGUAAUACGUAGGGGGCAAGCGUUAUCCGGAUUUACUGGGUGUAAAGGGAGCGUAGGUGGCAGGGCAAGUCAGAUGUGAAAACCCGGGGCUCAACCCCGGGAGUGCAUUUGAAACUGUCCAGCUGGAGUGCAGGAGAGGUUGGCGGAAUUCCGAGUGUAGCGGUGAAAUGCGUAGAUAUUCGGAGGAACACCGGUGGCGAAGGCGGCCAACUGGGCUUUAACUGACGCUGAGGCUCGAAAGUGUGGGGAGCAAACAGGAUUAGAUACCCUUGUAGUC
rnacentral:rRNA from 1 species